rnacentral:rRNA from 1 species
CUACGGGUUGCUGCAGUGGGGAAUAUUGCACAAUGGGCGCAAGCCUGAUGCAGCCAUGCCGCGUGUAUGAAGAAGGCCUUCGGGUUGUAAAGUACUUUCAGCGGGGAGGAAGGGAGUAAAGUUAAUACCUUUGCUCAUUGACGUUACCCGCAGAAGAAGCACCGGCUAACUCCGUGCCAGCAGCCGCGGUAAUACGGAGGGUGCAAGCGUUAAUCAGAAUUACUGGGCGUAAAGCGCACGCAGUCGGUUUGUUAAGUCAGAUGUGAAAUCCCCGGGCUCAACCUGGGAACUGCAUCUGAUACUGGCAAGCUUGAGUCUCGUAGAGGGGGGUAGAAUUCCAGGUGUAGCGGUGAAAUGCGUAGAGAUCUGGAGGAAUACCGGUGGCGAAGGCGGCCCCCUGGACGAAGACUGACGCUCAGGUGCGAAAGCGUGGGGAGCAAACAGGAUUAGAUACCCCUGUAGUC